rnacentral:rRNA from 1 species
ACGGGUGAGUAAUGCCUAGGAAUCUGCCUGGUAGUGGGGGACAACGUUUCGAAAGGAACGCUAAUACCGCAUACGUCCUACGGGAGAAAGCAGGGGGCCUUCGGGCCUUGCGCUAUCAGAUGAGCCUAGGUCGGAUUAGCUAGUUGGUGAGGUAAUGGCUCACCAAGGCGACGAUCCGUAACUGGUCUGAGAGGAUGAUCAGUCACACUGGAACUGAGACACGGUCCAGACUCCUACGGGAGGCAGCAGUGGGGAAUAUUGGACAAUGGGCGAAAGCCUGAUCCAGCCAUGCCGCGUGUGUGAAGAAGGUCUUCGGAUUGUAAAGCACUUUAAGUUGGGAGGAAGGGUUGUAGAUUAAUACUCUGCAAUUUUGACGUUACCGACAGAAUAAGCACCGGCUAACUCUGUGCCAGCAGCCGCGGUAAUACAGAGGGUGCAAGCGUUAAUCGGAAUUACUGGGCGUAAAGCGCGCGUAGGUGGUUCGUUAAGUUGGAUGUGAAAUCCCCGGGCUCAACCUGGGAACUGCAUUCAAAACUGUCGAGCUAGAGUAUGGUAGAGGGUGGUGGAAUUUCCUGUGUAGCGGUG